rnacentral:rRNA from 1 species
GACGAACGCUGGCGGCGUGCUUAACACAUGCAAGUCGAACGGAAAGGCCCUGCUUGCAGGGUACUCGAGUGGCGAACGGGUGAGUAACACGUGGGUGAUCUGCCCUGCACUUCGGGAUAAGCCUGGGAAACUGGGUCUAAUACCGGAUAGGAGCCAUUUUUAGUGUGAUGGUUGGAAAGUUUUUUUCGGUGUAGGAUGAGCUCGCGGCCUAUCAGCUUGUUGGUGGGGUAAUGGCCUACCAAGGCGGCGACGGGUAGCCGGCCUGAGAGGGUGGACGGCCACAUUGGGACUGAGAUACGGCCCAGACUCCUACGGGAGGCAGCAGUGGGGAAUAUUGCACAAUGGGCGCAAGCCUGAUGCAGCGACGCCGCGGGGGGGAUGACGGCCUUCGGGUUGUAAACUCCUUUCGCUAGGGACGAAGCUUUUUGUGACGGUACCUAGAGAAGAAGCACCGGCUAACUACGUG